UUCAAAUUUGACCCCAAGGUCAACUUAAAUAUUUUUUUCAUAAGAAACAUGACCACAGGUCACCACUGUUUUGUCCUUUGACUUAUGCCUUACAUCUUUGGCAUAUUGGUGUAUCAUUAUGAGGUUUAUAUGCCCCUUUAUAAUUAUAACCUCCAUGUGACCUUGACCCUAGACCUGAAGGAGGAUAACUGUAUUUUUGGCGAUAAACACUUGACCUGGCUAUGACUUGUCUUUGGAGGUAGGUUUGAGAUAUUUGUCUGUUUCAUUCAAAUCAAUUCAAUACAAUUCACUUCAAAUAUUUAUUUGAAGUUG
rnacentral:lncRNA from 1 species